rnacentral:misc_RNA from 1 species
CGCACAUUGCGCCCUUUGGCAUUCCGAGGGGCAUGCCCGUUCGAGCGUCAUUAAAUCCAAUCAAGCCUGGCUUGGUGUUGGGCGUCGGGGACUCCCCCGCGCCUCAAUUUCGUCGGCGAACCGUGUUGCCCAAUACUACCGUGUUGUAACCUUUGUAUUUCACGCUAUGAGGGGCGGACUACGCCGUUAAACGUUCAAUUCAAUUGAUGAAGGUUGACCUCGGAUCGGGUAGGAAUACCCGCUGAACUUAA